GUGAAAUUGUUGAAAGGGAAACGAUUGAAGUCAGUCGUACCGACGAGAAAUCAGCUCUUCGAGUGUUAACCUGUGGACGUGCGUGAGUCUUUAACGGGCCUCGCUGUUUGCAUGUUUGUGCUUUUUGGGUGUACUUUUUCGUAUGGUUGGCCAACGUCAGUUUCGUUCAUCAUAAAAUGAUCAGGGGAAUGUAGCUUCGAUCUCGUAUUGAAGUGUUAUAGACUUUGGUAGAUGUGGUGAUCGAGACUGAGGAUUGCAACGAAUACCCUUCGGGCUAUCCGUCUGGCCUCUGAAAGUUGCCUAGGUGCCGAAAGCUUGCUUACGGUCGUCUAAGGUAGCGGUCAAAAGGUUAGAACGUGAUUACAUUCGUUAAGGACGUUGACGUAAUGGCUUUAAACGAC
rnacentral:rRNA from 1 species